AAAAGGCAAAACCCAGAAACACCCCUCCUAAGGAACAAAAACGGCAACAACAAAACAACAAAAACAUUACAUAAACCUUGGCAUACCUAGGUAUAAUGAAACCCAAUAAUUAAAAACAAACUAGCAAUGAGUUACAAGAAAGCAAAAAUUUCUUGAGCUGAAUGUAAUGGUUACUCUUGCAUUUCUUCUUUGGAAUGUAAUUUCUAGAUGCCCGACAAUUCUUACGACAAAGGUGCAGCGCAUAAACCAAAACUCAAACAACAGUAAUUGAGGGAGAAAUAAUAGCAAUCUAAAUUAGAAAAACACAGCAGCAUCCUAAAACCAAAGGAUUUUAGCAAUAAAAUUCAACCUGUAGAAACAUCCAACUCAUGUGCUGAUGCGAACACAAAAUUGAGCACCUUCCAAUAGCUAAAAGAGGAACAUGAGACGCAAAUCCUGGAUAGAUAACUAGAUUCUCAUGAAAGAAAACCCAUCUUUCUUAAAAUUGAGGAAACAACCAAGUGCAAAACCCAAAGACACAAAGAAGAAUACAGGACCCAUACACACGGAAAUGAACCCCCUAAGAAACCCAUUCAUUAAUCAAAUAAAAGAUCAAAACCAAGCACCUACACUUCAUGCACCAAGCCGAUGGCUAAGAAUUCUAUAUGAAUAACACCAAAAAAGUGGAUCCACAACGAGACAAAACUCUAAGACACCUCCCUUAAGUAUAAAAAUACAGGUGCCGCAUGUACGUUUCUGCCAAAAUCAAAAUUCAAAAACCAAAUCCCUAAUCAUGACCUCCUUAAUCAAAGAAUUUCACAUAAACUCGGACCCCAUCUAAGCAAGAUUAAUAAUAAGAAUAUCCCCAAGGAAUAGACCUAACCAACAACUUUUGAAAGAAAUAAUCCAAUCAAAACCCAAAGCUAAAAAGUUCCUUGACUCUUUUAAAGCACCGAACAAGAGAAUACUUGAAAGUAAAAUAAAGUAAUUCUAAGAUUCACCUACAGUAAGAGGAACCUCAGAUUUUGGAUGCCUCCAUGGCUAAAAUGUCAGACUUAAUUUGCCUGAUCAAAUGAAUAACCAUAAUUUCGUCUGGUUCUGAGAACACUAAACCAAGUUGCUUACCCACCGACAUUGUUUGCUAGGCUUCCUUCUCGAAACCAAAAGGAAUGGUAGCCGAGUUUUCUCCAUUAGUAGCCUUUUAGUGAGGGCAAUUCAUUCUUGCGAUGUCAUUGUCGGUAGGCUCAAAGAAAUGGUUAUUGUCAAUUGUUUCAAUGGCUGGUAAGUUUUUAGGUUUCUUUUCCCUUUUCCCACCCCUAGAGAACUUGGGAGAGACUUCAUGGAGUCAAUGAUGGAUUUAAGCUUCCUGCAAUUUUUGAGAAGUCCUGAAACUUUAAGGCACUUGCCCUGAUUGUGGAGAGCAAAGAGGUGGGCUGGGCUUGGAGAUUUAAAAGGGAACAAAGCAAGACAAGAUGGACUGCCCUGCACUUGGGGAAGAGAUUCAACAAGAAUGGGCUUAGUUGAUCUCUGUGAAUUAAUAUCUGGUUCUAAGCAAUUACUUGUAAUAAGAGGACGGGGCAUGUCUAGGGGAAGAUAAGCCGAUUGUGUAGAUGGAAUCUCAAAAGGUUCUAGGUUAAUGCGGUAGUAAGGCAUAAAAUGCUCUUGAACCAGAUUUAGAUCAACGAACGGAACUAGCAUAUCCGGCUCUCGCAUGUUAUCUUGGGAAAUUUCAAAAAACUGCGAAGAGGGACCAAGAGUUGGAGCAUUCUCAGGUUCCAACACUCUGCAGCUACUUGUGGGCUAAGAUCAUCAUGGUGUUGUUCCAUGCCAAGAGCUAAUUGCUGGGUAAAAGCCAGUGAGUAACUCUGAUUUUCUCGAGAAGCAAAGAGAAGAUUACGACUGAUCUCGAGACUCAAAGCACUAUUACUCUCAACAUGCAUAGGUUGCACGCUAGUAGGAUCGUGAUAUGGGCUAUCGGAAGAAUUUACAGUGUUUUAAUUUGUCUUCGAGACAUUAGGUAUGGGAGAGACCAAAUCACAUCUUGACAGGUCAGUAGGGGAAGAAUUGAUGACACGUCAUCAUCUUUUUGCUUCUUUAAAACUUUGUCUAAACUCGCAGAGGUAGUAGGCUUACAAUGGGGUUUGUAGAUCCUUGGUGCGAGAAGUUCAUGACAGGGUUCUUUGAAGGAAACAAUGUGGUAACACAAGUUGUCAAUAUCUG
rnacentral:misc_RNA from 1 species